GCUUGAAAGGUUGCAGGUUCAGAUCCAACAAGGGAUCAUCUGUGAGCUAUUAAUGUUGUGUUCUUGAUUAAGGUUGAUUCAGAAGUGAUUAUUCUUGCAAAUCUUGUAAGUUCCUGUCACUCAACUGGAGGAACAUGACGCUAGCAAUGCCAAGAAAAGUGAAGCCGCCGAUGUCCCAAUAUGGCGCUGACAUCUUGUGCUGAUUUGGGAAAUGAGUCUGCGCAGUAGUGAACUUGGGACCCGAUUCUGUGCAGUAUUCAGAGCAACGAUGGACCAUUUCAAACUAUGUACUUUUGGGGGUCCUGCACCAACAGAGCAACUUUCAUUGAGAUGAUUGGAAAUCAAACAGAAAGUUUCAUCAGGAACUACUUUAUUGCUCAUCCCCUGAUUGUGACCUCUCGUCUGCUUUCAAGGCUACUAUAUGUUUUAAUUUUAUGAAAAAGACCAGUGUUAACAUUCUUCAAAAGUCCUCUCAUCUCAUGGUCUCAUCUCAAGGGAUCCAUGAAGAAAGUCAGUCAUACCGGUUUGGAACAACAUAAAGGUGGGACAUUCAUCUAGACAUUCUUCAAAUAUCAUCUUUUGUGUUCCACAGAAGAAAAAAAAUAAUAGGAAUUUGGAAUGACAUGAAGAUUUUGUGGACCCACUGUUGAAGCCCUCUGAAGUAGACUAAACCACACAGGAGUCUACAGGACUACAUGUGGAAGGACACAUUUUCUCCGAAUGACUCGUGCUUGGAAUGAAAUGCAACGUGAGGGGAAGACUGGUAAAUUUCAAAAAUUCUCAGUGAUCAAAAUCAGUUUGAGUCAUGUAUUUUAAGCUGAAGUCAUGUUUGCAGUUUAUUUAAUUUAAUAGACUAUUGGCACACUUCGAGCAGACAGGACUAGUGAUGUCAUCACAGCAGCUGUCCCCGUUUUCAUGCUGGUUUUGGCAGACUUUGUCUCAAAUUUAACUGGCCCACUUAUUGCCCCACCUGUCCAAUGCUCCAGUACUGUGAUGGUACCAAUUCAUCAGUUUAGAUUGACUCAUUUAGACCAGUAUACAGUUUAUCCACAUCUACAUGAUUUAAAAAACACUCUUAUGAAUGUGCAAAAUCCAGACCCCUGGCUUGCUGCCCAUAUAAAUAUAUACAUUCAGCAUGAAGCAUGAAAGGUUUAAGGGACAAUUUGAGAUGGAGCACCAAUUAAUCGCAAUCAAACCUUUCCAGUACGUUUGAUAUUAAUCCAACAUUCCCUCUUAAAGAAAUACAACACAUUGUCGUCUUUGGCUUGCUAAGGGUUUAAAAGACACUUAAAGGGUUAGUUCACACAAAAAUGAAAAUUUCCUGUUAAUUUACUCACCCACAGGCCAUCCAAGAUGUAGGUGUCUUUUUUUCUUCAGUAGAACAGUAAAGAAGAUUUUUAGCUGAAACUGUGGUUCUUGGUGAUUUUUAUAAUGUAAGUCAAUGGCUACCGUCACUUUGAGAAUCCAAAAAAACAUAUACAGGCAAAACUAAAUUGAUACCCGUGGCUCCUGAUGAUUCACCGAGGUCUUUAGAAGCAAAACGAUCGGUCUGUGCAAGAAACUGAACAUUAUUUAGAACAUUAUUACCUCUAAUCCACAGCCUCUGCAAAUGGUCCAGAACGCUUUCACGGCAGUCUGGAGCGCGAUCUUCCUCUCGCAUAAUGACGUAGCGCCACCUACUGGUCUGGAGAUACGAAAAAUGGCUAUUAUUGCUUAUUACUUCAGAAAGGUUUUAUCCAAUUUUCACAUAUUGGCCAUUUUGGGCAUUGGCCAUUUUGAAUUUUGUAGUAAAAUGCUGUAUUUUACGAACGCAUUAACGUAUCAUUGCGAAACUCGGUAUGGGUCAUCAGCACGAUGCCCUGAAGGAGUCUGAGAAGUUUCGGAUCAGUGCCACCUAGUUUAUAAUUGUGCUUAUUGUGCUUAUAACCCUCCUUGGAUUCCUGAAUGCUGAGUCCAACGAUACCAAACAUGUUAGGUUUCGCCUUAUGGUUAGUGCAAUGUUGUGAUUUAGUGUUUAGCGUUAACCGUUAGUCCAGUUGAGACAAAACCACCGUAGAAAAGUCAGAAACAUAGGUCAUUGACUACAUGUUAAUGGCCAAAUGUCAUAAUUUUGACAGUAAGUGGCAAAAAACGCAAUCAAAGUCAGGUGUGGGUAAUUUUUUAUGUGUUCAUACAUAUAAAUGUCUAUAAAUUAGAUAUUUCCACCAAAUGGGGGCACUCUGAGGACAGUUACCGUGAUUUUGCCAAGUAAGACAUGUUCCUGGAUCAACAUAUUUUGUUGAUCCUGGAACAACAUUCCUGUCCGAAAAUUUAGUCUUAACCCUAUUCCUACCCCUAAACCUAAUCCUGCCCAUAACUUAUCCCUAAAAUCAGAGGGGAAAGAUAGGUGAAUAACAUUGAUGUAGAAGCACCUAACCCUGGUUGUAAGCCUAAACUUGACAUAAACAGUAAACUAGUCCCUCAAAUAUGAUUGGUUGAUUGGAAUGUUGUUCCAGGAUGUUGUACUUGGUGAAAUCACAUUCACCCUCUGAGGACACACAAAAAAAAAAGCAGUGGGACUGCACCACUUGAUGGCGCUAUAAUUGAAUAAAACAUGAAAUUGGCGCUAACUACAGUACUGUUGAUCUGAUUGACUUCAAAUUUGUAUCAGUUGCUAUCAAAGUCCAUUAUGACAUUGUUGGUCUGCUGCUAGCUUCCUUGUUUGCUUCUGUUGUGCUUGGCCCCUUAAUUGCUGCUUGCAGCUAUAUUUCAACUUAGUUUCAUAAUUGACGAAUUUUGCAACAACUGAAUUGAACACUUAACUGAAUUGAGUUGACAAACAACUGCUUUAUAGUGGAAUUGAACUCAUUUCAUAGUUGGUGAACUUUACACAGUUUUUAAACUGAACUGAAUCAAUGCUGAACUGACUUCAGCUGAAUAAUGACACAAUUGCCUUCUGUAGAGCUGCUUUACAGAAGAAUUUGAAUUUCUCAUUUAUCAUCAUGUCUUGUUGUUUUCCUGUUUAUUACUGUGAAGCUGCUUUGAAACAUUCUGCAUUGUAUAUAAAGCACUAUAUAAAUAAAGGUGACUUGACUUGAUUUAUAAUAAAUAACACAAAACUGGUUUCGGGUCAGCGUGCAAGGUUGGCGAGCAUCGUCACCGUCCCGUUCAGGUUUAAGGUCAUGAGCAUUGUCUUUGGGCUGAAUGGAAUCAAUAUGAUUGCCCGGUGUUUUGUAAUUAAUCUGCAGAGGGCCUUUGAGGCACCAGAGGCCCAGAGGAAGACAGGAUGAAGGACACACUAAUUAAGGACCGCGCAAGACCACAGGACGUUUGCUGCUGUGCUGUGCCUGCUGCCUCUGCAUUUGAUUGUUAUUCAUCUUGAAUGCUGCCCGAUGACUUGAAUAUGUGGGCUAAAUAUGUACAUACUAAUGCAGUCUGGGGCGGACAGCAAUCCGACUCAAAUGGGUAUUAUACAGGUCUAUUUUAACCACUGUAUGUGGCUGAAUGGUUUGCGCGUGGUCUAUUCGCAUUGAAUGCAUGCCCGGAGGAACAUUUUAUUGCUCAGAGGUUACUGUUUCAUAGCUCAGGAGUCUUAAAGGAGUUUAAAAGUCAACCUUGUCUGAUAUUUUUCUUAAAAUUCCUUAUGAUAGAAACAAAUAGUGUGUAUAUAGAGUUCAAAAGUUUGGGUUCUGGCAAGUGCUCUCCAAGGCUGCAUUUAUUUGAUCAAAAAUACAGUAAAAAUGGUAAUAUUGUGAAAUAUUAUUAUUAUAUAACUGUUUUUUUUUAUACAUUUUAAAAUGUAUUCCUGUGAUGAUAAAACUGAAUUUUCAGUCUUCAGUGUCACAUGGUCCUUCAGAAAUCAUUAUAAUAUGUAACAUUUCUUAUUAUUGUUAAUGUUGAAAACAGUUGUGCUGCUUAAUUUUUUUUUUUUGUGGCAGCUGCAUAUAAAAUUCUAGAAUUCAAGAUUCAAGAAUAGAAAGUUCAAAAGAACAGCAUUUAUUUAAAAUAGAAAUCUUCUGUAACAAAUAUCUUUAUCACUUUUGAUCAAUUUAAUGCAUCCUUUCUGAAUAAAAAUAUUAAUUAUUAUUAUUAUUAUUUUUUAUUUUAUUUAUUUAUUUAU